rnacentral:tRNA from 1 species
GCCGGAAUAGCUCAGGGGUAGAGCGACGCUCUCGUAAAGCGUAGGUCCUGGGUUCAAUUCCCAGUUCCGGCU